AUCCUUAAACCUUAUAAAAAUGCAAAAGUUUUAACUGUAGCUUAUGAAUAGUACCCGCUGGUGCUAUUACAGAGAUGUCCUUGAAUUCAUUGAAUUGCCGAUUUUGCCCUUUAUUGUUUUGUUUCUUUGGUGGCCUGGCUGUCGCCAGCUGUCUUCUCUCUCUUAACUCUUAAGGCUUCUUCCUUCUUCUCAUCUCACUAUCUUUCUCUCUUCUUCUCCUCUCGGCGUUCCCACUCUCUAUCUCCUCCAUUGGAGCAGUUUCUGAGGUACAAAACAAAAGAAUUUAUGAUUUAUUUUUUGUUUAUUUCUUUUGUUCGUCUAUUCGAUUAGAUUUUUCCUCUUAUAAGAAUGGAGGCGGCAACAGCAGCAGCGAAACCAAUAAUCAAUGUCGCUGCCAUUUGCGGCUCCUUUCCAUACAACAUAGACCUCCUCCGAGCAGGCGGAAGGAGUAAGACGGAGCAAGGUUUGGUGGAUUCGAGUUUGAGGCUUUACUGCAGUUUUCGAUUGAAUUUGAUAUCAAAUGGCUCUUACAUAGCAACUUGCUACUAAGGCAAACAUUUUAAAGAAAUGUCGUGACCAUGGAAUGGGCCCUGUAGGUUUCUAUGAGCCUUGUUUUCGUGAGGGAGGGAAGUUGCAUUUGAGCAUGAUGUGUUUUGGUCAGUUUUGGGAUCCUGAUGCCAGCAAAUAUGUAAAAAAUCAUCGGCCAAUUGAUCAAGCAAAACCACCGUCACUUCCACAUGAAUUUCUAAUGUUAGUUGAAAGAGCCAUCAAUGACUCUCACUCUCGGUUGUAAGAGCCAUCAAAGAGCUAAACAGUCUGAGGCAAAUAAUGUAGAAGAUAUUCUUCUCCCAGUUGUAAAUUAUUAUACACAAACUGGACAGCUCGGUUUACAUCAGGCUCGUAAUUCGAAAGUUUUAUCUGAUUUUUCUUGUAUUGAAAUUACAUGGCUUAGCUUUCAGUGUGACAACUAACACUUUCAUGUUGAAGAAACAUCUGGACAACUCUUCUAUAAUACCUAUUAGAAAUUGUCUUAC